AUCCUUAUCAGUCAAAAGUGUAAACAAUGUGGCCCAGUAAAUUUCCGUUAUCCUGUGGCCUUCACCUUCAUGUGUGAUGUCAAAGUUCACAGGUCACAUCAUGACCUCUUCAAAGCUCAUGCAUUUUGGAGCACAUGCUUGCCAGUGUGUAUUGGACCUCCAUCCUGCCUGGUUGUCACCCAGCUGACUGUAAGCUGAACUAUGUAAAGACACAUAUUUUCUGAGACUCUAAAAGAGUUUGAAGUAACCAGUUCAAGUGAGAUCUGAAAGAAGAGGAAUGACUGACUGACAUGAUGAACUGACAGAGGAAAAUGGUGACUUAGUUUGAGUGAAAAUGUUGACUGAAUACUACUUGAAGGAAGUAUGUGCAUAUGUCUUCCUGUUUGGGGCUGACUUUAAUCUGUCUUUGUUAUUGACAACUUAGCUUUCAGAACAUUAGAUGACUUA